rnacentral:rRNA from 1 species
AGUGAACGCUGGCGGUAUGCCUAACACAUGCAAGUCGAACGGCAGCACAGUAAGAGCUUGCUCUUACGGGUGGCGAGUGGCGGACGGGUGAGGAAUACAUCGGAAUCUACUUUUUCGUGGGGGAUAACGUAGGGAAACUUACGCUAAUACCGCAUACGAUCUACGGGUGAAAGCAGUGGAUCUUCGGACCUUUCGCGAUUGAAUGAGCCGAUUUCGGAUUAGCUAGUUGGCGGGGUAAAGGCCCACCAAGGCGACGAUCCGUAGCUGGUCUGAGAGGAUGAUCAGCCACACUGGAACUGAGACACGGUCCAGACUCCUACGGGAGGCAGCAGUGGGGAAUAUUGGACAAUGGGCGCAAGCCUGAUCCAGCCAUACCGCGUGGGUGAAGAAGGCCUUCGGGUUGUAAAGCCCUUUUGUUGGGAAAGAAAAGCAGCAGGUUAAUACCCCGCUGUUCUGACGGUACCCAAAGAAUAAGCAACGGCUAACUUCGUG